GAGGGUCAGUAAGGCAGGGAGAGGACCAACACAAUGGCACUGAUCCUCAAGAAAAUCAUUCUCAGCUUCUAAAGUUAUAAUAAUUCUCAGCUAAAGGAAGCAUACUGAACACAAUGUUGUAGAUGCAGCACUGAGGUGGCAUCUACAAGACCAUUCUCAGCUACCAGUAGGAGACUGCUAUUUAGGUAAGUAGGAAAAUUUGUUUAAAGUUGGCAACUAAAAAGCUCAGGGAGUUGUAGGGUAUCAGAGGGUUUCUUUUUUCCUUUUCUUCAGUUUCUAAGAGGAAUACUGGGCCAGGACAGUCUUGUCUGGGUAGGCUAUUAAUACAGUUUGGAUGUGUGUCCCUGCCCAACUCUCAUACUGAAAUGUAACCCCCAGUGUUGGAAGUGGGCUUGGUGAGAGGUGAUUGUAUCAUGAGGGUGAAUUUCUCGUGAAUGGUUUAGCACCAUCCCUUUUGCUACUGUCCCACCAAGUGAUAGUGAUGGUGAGUGAGUUCUCAUGAAUUCUGGCUGUUUAAAAGUGCGUAGCGCCUCCCGUCUCUCUGUCUUGCUCCUGCUGCGCCCUGUGACAUGCCUGCUUCCCCUUCGCCUUCCACCAUAAUUGUAAGUUUCCUGAGGCCUCCUCAGAGGCUGAGCAGAUGCCAGCAUCGUGCUUCCUGUACAGCCUGCAGAACCGUGAUCCAAUUAAACCUCUUUACUUUACAAAUUACCCAGUCUCAGCUAUUCUUUAUAGCAAUGUGAGAACGGCCUAACACAGCUACUGACCAGGCCUGGCUUGCUACUCCCUGGAAUUUUACAAAGCACUUUUUCUACCCUUCCAUCCCUCUCUUCUCCAUCUUGCAAUGUACCUCCUUUUUUCUUUUUUUUCCCUUUUUCAGAAGUAAGGAAGGGAAGAAGGGAGACGUCAGAGAAGGGUGGGGUGGAGAGGAGAGAUAGAGAAUCAUGGGAGGAAGAGGAAGGGGGACUAGCUGGGUAAGAGUGAUGUGAUUAGAGGCCUAUAGAAAAGAGGAAGAAAAAAAUAAAAAGAAGCAGAGUUUUUUUGGGUUACAGCAAGGAUUGGAGCUCUAACUUGGUGACUUAAGGUAGGUUCCUUUAUGCUUUCAGCACCGCAAGUUUAACAAACAGAAAAGAGAUGGUCUGGUUGAUCUGAACUUACUUGAAUAUUUCCCCAGGGUCAAAUGAGAGUAAACUCGUGGACAACUGGGGUGCUUUCCCAACAAGCAAACCUUUGUUGGAACAAUAGGAAGGAUGCCAGAUCGAGAGGAGGUUUUUUUCAACUCAUUUCCAAGCAAAGCAAAGUGACCUCUGUGACUGUAGCUCAGAGGAGACACACAAACACGAGAAUAGGGUACCUAGCCCCCUAUGAAAGGAUAUGAGGAAGACUUCCACUCCCAUCUUCCACUCCCUCCACCUCCUGUGCCUGGAUCCCCUACAGGUACAAAAGAGGAGAGGCCUCCUGACCUGAGCGCUUACAAUGGAACAGUGGGUUUAGGAGAUCAAAGAAAUCCCUGUCCAGAUCAGAGGGGAAUUUGGAGGGGUAGCUACGGGGUAUACUGACUGGGAGAAGACCAUAAACCUGAUGGAGAAAAACACAACUGAUUGUACUGAAAGUGUAAAAUGCUGCACCAGCCAAAGAUCUAGGUGCAAAAGAUUUCUUCCUACCCAGUGGUUGUAAAUGACUUUGUGUAAUAGUCCUGGUGUGACCCUGGAAGAUAUUAGGGCACCAUGGGAAGAUCUGACUUUGUGAAGAAUUGUCCAUAUAUGUAUAUAAAAUGUCUUGGAUUAUCGAUUUCCUUUUUCUUUCCUUCAUUCCCCUUCCUCCCUCCCUCCCUUUCUUCCUCCCUUCCUCUCUCCCUCCUUCCCUCCCUCUCUCCUUCCCUUUCUUCCUUCCUUCUCCCUUUCUUUCCAGAGAGCUGCAUUCUGCUACACUGUGGUCAAUGUACUUGGAGAAUGGGAGAGCUGGUACCAAUCUCCUCCUGGACUGCCCACCGGGAUGACUGUUUGAGAUUUCAGGGUGGGGUUGGAGAAGGCUAAGGCCUCCAUCAAGCAUUGUGGAAGCACAUAAGUUACAUGAAAAACAAUGACCUACAGUGGAUUCUAUACGAAACAUUGAAAACGGGCUUUAAACCUUUUAAAAAAAUUUAACAAGGGUAUUAUUUGAAAUUAGGGAGGAGUGUGAAAUCAGAAGACAGACAGCAAAGGGAGAAAGAUGGCAAGUACAAGCCACACUUAACCUGUUUCACUCUUUUGCCUGGCGCCAGACCUGACGCCCAGAAGCAACUUUUUCAUGAAGACGAAGUAUUCAGAGCUCAGCUUUUUUUUUUUCCUAUUCCUUACUGGGAUGAAAUUUUGGCAACAUUAGUAGUUUAUUAUUUCUAAAGCCUUCAAAGUUUUUAUCUCCUAACAAUAUAGUACUUAAUCAAUGAGGGAAAUACACUAAAAGCAAGAAAGAAAAAUCCAGUUAUAGUUUGAGGUUAAUAAUGUAGCUUUUGUCAGCCCAGAAUGAGGCCAAAAUAACUCCUGAGCUUGGCAGUAGCAGGUUCCCGCCACCCUGGAUGGGCAUGAUCAUUAAACGUGUGCCACCUGGUGGUGAUCUGUAGCACGAAGCUUGUUGAGCUCUUGGUGGACACAGCACUGGAGUUUAGCUUACAAGGCUAAUUGACAAUCCUGCUGAGCUGAUCACUGCUCCCUCCAUAAGUGUUCAGACAGAACUGUGAUCCUGAGGCUGUGGCUCUACCUAGGUGAGUCAGAGCCAAAAAGCCCAGAACUCCAACUUCUGUGAUCCUUCGACAAAUGACAGCCUGGGCAACAGAGCAAGACACCGUCUUUAUAAUAAACUGAAAAAGUAGCUGUUAGUGGUAUGAUGUAUAAGAGCACAGGGUGGCUCAUGCCUGUAAUCCCAGCUGGGGAUGCUGAGGUGGGAGGAUCACUUGAGCCCAGAAGUUUGAGGCUGCAGUGAGCUGUGACUGGGCCGCUGCACCCUUCUCCAGCCUGGGCGACAGACAGAGACCUUGUCUCUAAACAAAACAAACAAAUGAAUCAUAGCCCUCAAGUUCUGCCCAGGUUUCAGCCAGCAGCAAUGUGCCCCUGCAACUUCCAGCCCUUUCAGCCAGGGGCACGGCUGGCUUCAAACAGGCUGAGGAAGCUCUUGAGUGACUCACUUUUCUUUAGGAAAAACCUAAGGUUUUAUUUAAUAGGUUGGAGAAGAUGUGGCCACCUCAGGCUUGAAUGUCAAGUUGUACUUGCAGUGGAGGUUAUUUGCAUCCCAACUUACUUUCCAAUGGGGUAAAAAGUGCUGAAGGUUUGUGGUUUGUGAUGGGAAAGUUAGUAAAUGUUAAUAUACUUACUUUCAUCUUUGCAUGGAGAAAAAUGCCGAUAGUAAAUGUUAAUAUACUUAUUUUCAUCUUUGCAUGGAGAAAAAUGCCGAUAGAGAAAAGGAACAAUUUCAUUCUGCUUUGUAUUUCCUUCAGCUGGUCUAUUUAAAGUACACACAAAGGCUGGGCACAGUGGCUCACACCUGUAAUCCCAGCACUUUGAGAGGCUGAGGUGGAUAGAUCACUUGAGGUCAGGAGUUCGAGACCAGCCUGACCAAAAUGGUGAAACCUAAUCUCUACUAAAAAUAUAAAAAUUAGCUAGGCAUGGUGGUGUGUGCCUGUAAUCUCAGCUACUCAGGAGGCUGAGGCAGGAGAAUCACUUGAACCCGGGAAGUGGAGGUUACAGUGAGCCGAGAUAAUGCCACUGCACUCCAGUCUGGGCAACAGAGUGAGAUCCUGCCUCAAAAAAAUAAAGAAAGAAAUAAAGUACACACAGAGGUUUCAGGAAAGCUUUAAAGAAGAAAGAUAAUGAGUGGAGGAGGAUAAUGAAAAUCUAACCCUAAAAUAGAAAAACGGCAGUACCACCAAGCUCAGAACCAGAGACUUCAUAUUCAGUACUAACGAAGAGGGUGGGGUUGAAGCUUUUCUCUGCUUGGUCCAUGCAAAGAAAAAAGAAGGUUAGUCUAGCAAAUAACUAACAUGAAUAGCAUUAUCGCAGAUAUCUUGAAAUAACUAUGAUCUUACUUUCAUAGAGGAUUGUAUGAUAGCUUUAAUUUUUCAAUCUCGUAGGAUUUGAGGGAGAGAUCUACUCCUUCCUCCCAGUGAUGGGUCAUAAGAGAACAAUUUAGAAAAAUAGGAAGUGGCAGCAAGUCAAUAAGGGCCUUCUCUUUAUCUACCCAAAUCUUCUGCAGGGUCUGGUCUCUCCCCUAUGACCUCCCGCCUGCUGGAGGCUUGCAACAAGGGCUAGACAACAUAUGUAGCAGACUUAACAAAUCAACUGAGAUCUGAAGUAAAAACGUACAGGCUGUUCAAGAGGGAAGACUGAAUUUUGAAAUAGGAAGAGACAACUGUAUCCUUCUGGCUCUCUGAGAAACUUUACACAUUGCAGUUAAUGAAGCCAGUGGCUUUGGGGAAGUGGUAUGAUGUAUAAGAGCACACACUACAGGGUCCGGCAGGCUUGCGUUUGAAUCCCGGCACUAAUUGGUUCUGCGGCUUUAAGCUUCUCUGGGCCUUAGUUCCUUCGUCUGUAAGGUAGGGGUCACAGGGUUCUGCUAAAUAUUUCGUGAAGUUACGAAUCAAGUGCCUAGCAGAGCAGCUGCUUACUACUCCCUUCCACAGUAAACAGUUUUCUCUUUUCCCUGACUUACCCCGCCUCCCCAGAUUUUCAGACUAAGAAGAGACGCUGCUGGCUUAGAAUUUUCUAUGUGGAAGCAAAGCCACACCAAAGGGUACACCGCCUUUAGAUUUCAUUACCAUAAACUGAGUAGGUCUUUGGCAACAGCAAGACAGCUGGAGCCCAUAGAGACUUCCAGAGGCCUGCAGCGCAGCUGGGAGGGUCAAGGAGGGGGAACUGGAAGGGCCAGAUAGGGAAGGAAGGAUGGCUGAGAAUCUAGGCAGUAUCUGAGAGGUGAGGCCCAGUCCAGAUGGUCACAGCUUUAGCUGGGUCACCUUAGCCUUUCUGUUCUUGUUGCUUCAUAUUUGGUUUACCUCUGUUUUGUAGUAAAAUAACUCUUGAAAAUAGGCCACUCGUGGGUUUGUCAGGGAGUAGUGCCUCACUCGGUCAUUUAGGUAGGAGGGCAGCGUGUGUUUUGAGUGUAUUGUUGGCAGCCACCAAGUCAAAUAGAUUUGGGGGGAUGGUAAGGAGCAAGAAAAUAUAAUUAGGGGCUUCCCUGGGUAGAUUCAGAAUUUAUGAACCACCAGUGUAUAUUACCCAAUGGAAUGUUUAAAGUAAUAAUGCCACAUAUGUCCACAGUAGUCCAUAAUCCAGACUUUCCAUUCUUUUGGAUUGGCCUUUUCUUCAAUUUUUCUGGAUUAUUAUAUAUUCAUUACAUUAAUCUUUUUCACCAAGUCUUACUUUCCUCCUUCCUGCUUUCUCUCAACAGAGAGGGAAACAGAAAAAAAUCUAGACUAUGAACAGAUAUAGGUGGAGUGUUGCGGCAUUGGGAAAGCGUGCUGUUACAACAGGUGGCAGACCCUAUGAGCGCGCACACACACACACACACACACACACCCAUGCAUUACUCAGUACCAUAAGAUCACCCACAUGAAUAAUAAGGCCCAGGUCCAGAGUUAUAUCAGCCCUGUGUCAUUUCUCUAAUGGCCACUGAGUGCUUCGGUUUGCCACACAUUCAUUCUCUUGUGCUUCUAAGAGACCUGUGACCCAUGGGGACUCCAUGCAGAUGGCAACAGAGACCAACGCCUCCCUCACUGUAGCAUUUGUUCCCCCUUUAAGUUUUUAAAAGACAUGUUAGAGACCCUGAAGGCCCAGGAGACUAUACUCAUUUUCUUACAUUGAUGAAAAUCUAAGUUUAAGACUUGCCAGGGGUUCCCUAUUGCUAUGAUCUAAAUGUGUCCCCCAAAAUUCAUGUGCUGGAAACUUAACCCCCAAUGCAACAGUACUGGGAGGUGGAGCCUAUGGUGGGUGUUUAGGUUGUGAGAGCUCCGCACUAUGAAUGGAUUAUUGCCACUACAAAAGGGGCCUGAGGGAGUGGGUUCUCCUGCUCUCUCCUGAUCUUCUGCCAUGUAAGGCUGCAAUGUUCCUCCUCUCUGGAAGACACAACAACAAAGUGCCAUCUUGGAACCAGAGAUUCAAUCUGCCAGCACCUCGAUCUUAGACUCCCCAGUCUCCAGAAUUGUGAGAGAAUAAAUUUCUGUUCAUUAAAAGUUAUCCAGUCUACGAUAUUCUGUCAUAGCAGCACAAAGUGAACUGAGACAUCUGCCAU